CUUGGCAAUUAACAGCAAUACAGUAAUUGGAAUUUAUUUAGUUAGCUUUUUUCUUGCCUAAAUUAGUUCAUCUAAAAAUAGGGCUUCUAGACCAAACUAGUCAGCUGGCUUUUCUCUCAAUCAGUGUGAGAGACAGACACCAUGAAAAAAGCACAUCUUGGUCCUUGAUACUUCCACAGAGAUUUAAUCACAAGUAUUCUGAGUCACACAGUUUAGGUCAGAAAACCAAACCAUUCACUGACAACCAAUGAAAGUAACAAUAAUUCCUGGAAAACGAAAACCCCUCUAAAUAGUAAUUCUAUUGAAUUUUCUACUAAGGGAUUAAGUACUGAUCCUAACAGUCAUUGGAUGCUUUCCCUCCUCCUCAGAAGCUCACUUGUAAGUGAUUUAACUUCCCACAGUGGCUAUCUUUAUGAACUGAAUCUCAAUGGCCCUUCUGAUAUUUUUUUUUUCCAGGAAUUAGUUUGAUCUAUGCCUACUGCCAUUACGUCUAUUGCUUUUAAUUUACAAAAAGAUGCAAACAAUCCUGAAGACCAUGUAAUAAGAAGUGAGCCAUCCUUCAUCUGUUUCUUUGUUCACAGGAGCAGCUGUGCUUGAAAAGGGAAAAAAGAGAUUUUGGGAAAAGAAAAAUCAGGAGAAAAUAAUGCAGAUCUAACCAUUUUGUUAACUUUUUGCUCAGUAAACCAGCUUUGAAAGCACAGAGAGAGAUGGUGGGACUUCUCACCCCAAGGCACACCUUGACUGACCUAAAACAUAAAAUACAUUAAAUACCAAGGCAGCUAGCUGCCUAUAUUGGAACUGAAUGCGAUGGU